GACAGCUUGGAACAGUGAAGGUUGUGUCUUAAACACCAGUGCCUCAUCUUCAUCUACCUCUGUGUGCGAAUGCAACCAUUUGACCAAUUUUGCAAUUCUUAUGAGUCCGUUGACACAGACAAAUGUUGAGAGCAAAGCUAUUGAUAUAAUAUCAACAGUUGGAUGCAGUAUCUCCAUGUUGGCGCUGGUCAUUACAGUUCUGGUUCAUGUUGCUUUAUGGGAGUAAGU